AAGAAGAAGAAGAAGCAAGGGAAGGUGGAAUUGGAAGCUUUGGUGGGUUCUACAAGCUCUCCUACAAGAAGGACUUGGAGGAGCUUGGGCUAAGGUGAGUUUUUGGUAUAAAUGAGUCUAGGGCUUGGUUUUGAUCCCUAAGAUUUGGAGUUUUGGAUUGUUUUUAGCCUUGGAAACCCUCUAUUGACCUUGAAACCAUAAAAUCCAUGGUUUACUUGAGG
rnacentral:lncRNA from 1 species